AGACAGGUUCUCCUAGGUGAGGAGUAUAGUGAACAACGGGAGGCACAUUAGUGAAGACAGGAGCAUUUGGUGGAACGAACUCUUGUUGAUAUCUAUCUUGAUUAAGAUCCCUGGGUAUUUCCCAAGGACGGGAUGCUGUGAUGGUAACAGAAGUGACUGGGACAGCGUUGAUUUCUGAAGCGAUGACUGUAGUGACGGGUGCUGCUGUUGUCUGAUUCUGAAUUUGAGGUUGAUUCUGUGCCGAAGUCUGUCCUGAAUUAUGAACUUGAGCUCUAGCCUGGGCUUCCUCUGCUUGUAGACGGGUGGUUAACAUUUGGUUGCGCAUCUCAGCUGCCUGUGCUUGCGCCUGGAUCUGUGCAUCUUGUGCUUCGGCAACCUGAGCUUGUGCUAUUUGAAGUUGAGCAGCUUGGGCUGCUUGGUUUGCUAUCAAUGUCUCGACCAUAGCAGAAAGGCGAUCAACCUGAGCUUUCAAUUCUCGGUUCUCGUUAUCUGUUAUCUCUAUUCUUCUUUUGUAGUUGGCUCUUGUGUUGUAAUUAUGCGUCAGCUUGAAAUGGAUCUGCUGACGGGAAGCAACUGUUAGAAGACUGGACCAAGACAGACAACCUGUAUGCACGUGAUGCAUGGAUAUGCAAAAUGAAUGAUUUUCCAAGGAACUCUAAGUGAAGGAAAAGAUAGAAUUGCAAACAUUUUGAUAAACAAGAAAAGCAUUUUUAUCAAAAUAUACCAAGUUAUCACCCAAAAUAACAACAAGAAAACGCAUUUAAGGACAUGUGUAUGAGGACGAGCAUAAACAAGUAAGGAGUUGUCCUUCAAGUCUCGCAAUUCUUGUCUUCAUAGGCUUCUGCAAAAAGCUUUUCUCCUUCACAGCAUAACUGUCUACAAGACUUUUCCAUGCACCUGAGGACUGUGGAAUCUGGGAUGUAAUCUGUUGGUGCCUGAGGAAAUAAAUCCUCUUUGCACUGUUUGGACGUUUUAACCCCUGCACGAUCUUCUCCACUCUGCUCCUUUAAACUGUCUCUGAAGUUCUUCAUUUUCGCAUUUCGAGCACCUGGGGCCUUAUCCUUCCAGCGCUCUCUCUUUCUCACCCUCUCCAAGGGUGGCUUUGGAGUUAAUUCUUGUGCAUCACGGAAGGGUAGGGGUCUUCAACGGAGCGGGGUUUUGAUAGGAUCACCAUGAAUGUGGGUAUGGCAUUUUCAACUGUAUAGCUCUGGCUCUGAUCCACUGGAGUACGGCUCAUAGGAGGUAUAAUCUUUCCUUACCAAUUUCAGUCUCCUCUUUGCGAAAACACGACGCCACGCUCUCCGUACUCUCUCUUUCAUGUAGGGUCCCUCCUCGUUAUCCCUCAAGAAACUACCUUCUAAAAGAAUGCUUAGGAGGCUUGUCCUUUCAUAGGGUAAACCGGAUUUUGUCUCCUAGCAAGUACUGGGAUUAUAAGAAAUGAUUUCCGCUUUGUUGCUCAUGAUGGCGGCCUCAUUGGGGAAACUCCAAGCAACCUAUCAAUGAUCUCACAUCGUCUAAAACUCUACUAUAGCCAUGCAUAUAUCCUGACUGGGUAAGAGACAUAAAAUCCUCUUGUGACCACUGAAGUCCUGACUUGCGAUCCAACCAAAGGUAGCCUUGACUAGGAAAGAUGAGCAGACGCAAACCAUUUGUAGAGUAACGGUAUACAGCAGAUAUAUGGUUCCCUCCUCCUUUAAAGUACGGUAUGAUGGACUGAUAUGGGGGGGGUGGUCUCCGAGCAAAGUUGGAACUAGGAUAUCCACUUAGGAAGAUGCGUAUAGAAUAUGAUCCCCAACAACCUCAAUAUUAGGAAAUAGUAGACAAAACCGGUAGAUCAACAAGGCGAACAGAUGCUCCACAAUAAUAUAAACGCUGACUGGCAAAAAUAAGAAACCUUGCCCCCAUUAAGAACUUGGCAGUGAAACCUGGAAGUCCCUCCUUUGGUGUGAAGUUAUUCUUGAAUUCUGACUUCUUCAUGUACAACCUUUGCAGAGAAUGUGCUCGGGGUACUUUUUCUGAACCAGAGAAGGUACUGAUCAGCAACUGGGAUGUGAAGCAACUGGGCAUACUCUUCCAAUGUAGGCAUGAGUUUGAUAGUCUGGGAAUGUGUUAUACAGGAUAGACUGGGAUCAUAGAACUGUAGCUAAUGUCUGCAAUAACUCCUUCUUCCAUCCUAAGUGUCAUAAAGAUUAUAAAGUUGCCCGCGAUAUCGUUGUCUCUGAAACCUAAUAGGAUCCUGCGAUCGAAGAAACAGUUUCUUUAGUUCAUCUCUUCUUUGGAUUGGAUGAGAUUACUUUGUUUCCCACUUCUUGUCCCAAAAUCCAUGUUUUCUAUAAAUUUGCCACUCCUCACUUUAAGUUCCUUGAAAAAGGUUGAAAAUGAUGGGAACUGAAUGCAUGUCAUCGCAUGGAAUGCACAACACAAACAUGGUUAAACACAUACAAGGCUCCAGUUCAUCAACCAGCAUGGAUUUUGGACAACGCCCCAAAGCUAAUUUCUAAGGUCACCUGUUCAAACGGGUUUUUCUAAAAAGUUCCCAAGGUAUGGAUCCUGUCUUCGGAUAAUACCCGGGUUAAGAGCAACUGCUCGCUUUCCAUAUUAUUGCUCAAAAGCAACUCGCGUGAUGUGGGAUAUCGCGUGAUCACCAAACCAGACUUUGGUCCGAAGUGGUCACCGCAUCACCAUCCAUAAGUAAAGGCCAAUAUGGGGUAAAGGUAAACUAAGGUCCCUUGGCUUCACGGGCCCUCGAAAGCAACAAGGCCUGCACAAAUGACUUGUUUUAGCAAGCGACAUCCCCAAAAGGCCUCCACCAGCCGGGACAAAGCUCAAGUCAACUCGGUAGGAUGGUCCUCUCAUCAGUCCAAAUACCUGAAUUAUGCAUCCAUCCUAUCUCAAAUGUGCCCCAAAUCCGGUAUAGAUUUAUCACAAGUAAUCCCCAAACGCCCAAAAUAACAAACAUUACAAACAAUUACAAUUUUAGCAAAAUAAUCCCACAAAGCAAACAUAUAAACAAGCAAAGAUAGGUAAACCUCAAUAAGGUUUAAUCAUUUGUGUCCCAGCAGAGUCGGCCCUUCUGUCGGGCGGGAUUUUUUCACAGAGCUUAAGUAUUGAUUGAACCUUAACCCCGUUGAAAAAUAUUUUUUAAAUGCAAGAGUCGCCACCCGUCUUUUUUAUUUUAUCCAAAAAGAGGAAGGGAAAACCAUAACAGAUAAAUCCUUUAGAGUUACGGAGUUCGGGGGUUGGUUAUGCAAAGGGAAGGUAUUAGCACCCUCUACAUCUGUGGUAUCCCACAGGAACCUUUUGCUUAUGUUAGUGUGAAUGCUUUGUCUUUUUUCCAACUUUGAUCGUUUUUGAAUUGGGAGAUGAGAAAAGAACGUUGAUUUAUGCUUUUGGACUCCGAAAAGUCGUAGACUUCAUGCUACGUAUCUCCAAGGCGCAAUGGAGAAAUCAAGAAUCCACGUAGUUCUCCCAAAAGAAAAGGGGAAAGUUUGUUUUGUAUGAUUUUAGAUUGCGUGUCUUGCCCAUCUCUUGCUCGACCUAGGCGGGAGGCUUCCGAGACUGGACACGUCCUUUUUGAAAAUGUUUUGUAAACUGAAAAGCCAAAGCUGACAAACGAUUUGAAAUGAGCUAAACCUGGAAACAAUAAAUAAUGGGCUCAUUAUAAGGAAGCCGCAAGAAGUAAGCUUGUGAGUGUGUGAAAUGGGUUUUCUCAACGGCGACCGUUGGAAUCGCAUCGGGUUUCUCUUUUUGGAUUUUUCGAUUUUUUUAACGAUAAAACAAUGAACAAUCGAUUAAACACACAAUACAGAAAAUAAAAAAUGCGAGAAAGUUUAAAUUAUUUCACAACACAGUUAGCUAUGCAUAGUUAGUAUUACGAAUAGUUAGUAGAGUUAAUCGAGCUAAAACUGAAACGAAACGGUUAGUAAACAACAUAAACAAAUAUAAAAAAACAAUAUAAACAUUUACUUUAGACAAAAUAAACAUUUGAAUAUAAAUAAACCUUUUAUUAAAAUAAAACAUUUAAACAAAUAAUUAAUUUAACUAAUAUUAAUAAAAAUAUAUUGCAAAAUAAUAAUAAAAGAUAAAACAAAUUAGUAAACCAAAAGUAAUAUACAUAUAUAUAUAUAUAUAUAUAUAUAUAUAAUAUUAUAUAUAUAUAUAAGUAUAUAUAAUAUAUAAUAUAUAUAUUCUUAUAUAGUAUAUAUAAUAUAUUAUAAAUAUAUAUAUGAAUUAUAUAUAUAUAUAUAUAUAUAUAUAUAUAUAUUAUAUUUAUAUUUUAGACAAUAAAUAUAUAGUAGACAAAAACUAAUAAUAUGGUACAUUUAGACAAUAAUAUAUAUAGACAAAAAUAAUGCUAUAUAUAUAUAUAUAUAGUAUAUUAUAUUAUAUAUAUAUAUAUAUAUAUAUAUAAUAUAUAUAUAUAUAUAUAUAAUAAUAUAUAUAUAUAUAUAUAGUAUUAUAAUUAGAUAAAUAGAUAUAUAAAACACAUGUCGGCAAGCCGGAACUUUGCCGAUUUCAGAGAUAAGUUGAAGAAUAUUACCUUGUGUGAAAGGCUGAACUUCUGAUCGUCACCAAUGAUCGACCGAUAAGCUGGAAACCGUACACGACGCAGUGCUGGCCUGCCUUCGUGAGUACCUGCCUUUAACCGUCGUUUUUGAUCGGUUGAACGACGCCGAAUGAAAUGAACUGGAUAUUGUGACUGGAUACUCAACGACUUCAAAGAUCUGAAAUCGGUUUUGUUGUUUCGGUGAUAUCGGGACGAUUUUUGGAUUACUGAAAAUGAAGAGAACAAGUGAAAUAUGGUAAUGGCUUUUGGAAAGUAUUUCUUUUCAAAUUCCUGUUUCUCUCACCAGCACGUUUUUUCUUACUGAUCCACCUCCUCUUUUAUUACUAACAACAUCUAAUAUAUAUAUAUAUAUAUAUUAUAUAUAUAUAUAUAUAUAUAUAUAUAUCUAUAUAUAUUAUAUAUAUAUAUAUAUAUAUAUAUUUAGAUACUAACAAUAGCACCUAAAAAAUUAUUCUAUCAUAAAUUAAUAAUAAUAUAUUUAGAUUACUUAAACAAUAGGAACACUAAAAAAAUAUCUAACAUAAAUUAAUAAUAUAUAUUAUGAUUACUAAACAAUAGGAAACCUAAAAAAAUAUUCUAACAUAAAUUAAUAAUAUAAUUUUAUAUAUUAUCUAAUCCAUAAUAAUAAUAAUAAUAAACAAAUAAUAAUAUUGAAUCCCUUAAUAAAUAAACUAAUUACAACUAAACAACAAUUAAUAUAAGCACAAAUAAUAUUAAACGCACACGAUUAAAAAUACGAUAAAAUCGAGCGAACGAACGCGAUAAACAUGAGACAAUUGCACAGCAAAACAGACAAAUUGUAAAAACCCACUAAACCAGUAAACGCGGUAAACCGUAAAAUCAACACACGACUCAAAAACAGGACUCGAUUAAAUCACACGGCACAACACGUAAUAAAUAAAACAACCCUAGGCAAAUAAUAAAAUCACACGACAUCACGAAAACGCUGACAAACACAAUCACAAAUAAUCGGCACAAUUACGAAAACUCUAAUAAUAUUCGGAAUUACAGUCAAAUACGACAAAAAAAAAAUUAAAUAGAUAGAAAACGCACCAAAACCUAAUCGAAGCGAUGCCACGCACAAAAGAGAAUAAGCGAGAUAAAUACGAGGCAACGAUAUCGGCCAGGUUUUUGCUAAACAACGAAAUACAACAGCGGUAAGCCCAACGAAAAACACACAAAACCUAAUCAAACCAGUUUGUCACGCCGAGUUUAAGAAACAUGAGAUGAAUAUGAGACAACGAGAUUAAUCAAGCUGGUCAACAAAGCCAAAGUCAACAUUUUGGGGUGCGACAAGAUGCCACUGUUCACUUCUGCAUGCUUUCUUAAAGGUACAUUUAAGUUGCUAAGUUCAUUGUGAAUCAUUGUUCUUUUUUUUUGCUUUUGCUUGGUUUGCAUACCAUUUGAGUAAUAUAUUUCUGACUUAUGUAGUCCUGGAAGACCUGUCUGUUGUUACUUGGCAGGCACUGUCUAAAUCCCUCUUGAGACAAUGCUUGUGUUUGUUUUAAUUAUUGUGGCCAAGCAGGAAAGUGCCCUUUGAUAAGGUCAAUUGGCAGAUAAAAGAGAUGUGCAAUCCAUCUCCUGCUAAUUCAGUUAGUCAUCCCUUGCUCACCACCCCUUGUGUUGAUGCAUUAUGGGGUAUUAACCCAAGAUUUUGUUGAGUCAGUGCCAUAUUGUGGAGAAGAGUUCAACUUUCUGAAGUCCCAACACUUUCAUUUGUCCUGACGCCUCCCAGGCCAGGGAUAAGAGCUGUGAGGUCUUACCCUCACUUCCCAAUUUAUCCUGCUUCAAACCCUAACUCUCAUGUUAGGGUAAGGAGCUAACAUCACCCGAUCCAGUUGGCUUGUGUUUUCACAGCCUAACCCUUGUGUGAGCCACUUUGUUUUGUAUAUAGUGUGUGAAUAAUUGGUGUAAUGUUUGCUUUGCUUGUGUUGUUUGAGGGAUAGCUCGCUGCCCUGUGCAAGUUAGAUCGAACCUCAACCUAGGGACCAUUGUGGAUUACAUGAUAUAUUAGGCCCGGAGUCAGUCUCCCUUCUAGUGUCAUUUCCCAGUCUCUGUUAGGAGAAAGUUUCUCCCCUGUUCAGGGGAACUUACGUUGCCCUGAUCCUCAUACCAGAGAGGUACGUAGGCAGUGAGAUUGUACGAGAAUCUCUCCGGGCACCCUUUUUUUUUCUUUUUUGUGUGUGUUGGCUUGACAGUUACUACGCUCGGUGGCCAGACUCCUUAGUAAGCCUGUUUUUGUUUGGUUCUUCUGUGUGUGUUAGGAGAUGGAUGUAAGCCCACAGGCGAUUGGCAUGUCCGUAUCCUAUUGUUGUGUGCUCUGAGUCUGACGUAGUCUCACGCGAUUGCAGCGGUUUCACCCAGUGUGGGUUUGUUUGGUUCGGAGUCCGUGUAAGCCCAGCGAUUGGAUUCGUUUUCCAGGUUUGCCUGUUUGCGUGUGUUUUUGUUUCGGCGGUGCCGUGAGCCGAACUACGGAGCCUGAUUCCUCAUUCCAUGAUGCGAUUACGUAGGCAUAGGAAUGCGAUAUCCUAGCGAGCCCUUUCCCUUUUCUCCCACCUGUGUUGUUUAUGUGUCUGUGUGACUGUUUAUGAGCAAACUUCAUGUUUUUGCCAACCUUUUUCUUUCCUUUUGAGCGUGGAUCCCGUCGGUAUGACGGAUGCUAGGGGUGAUAAUACCUUCCCUUGCGCAUAACCGACCCCGAUCCCAUCCUCUUUGGCGCGAGACCAUGUCUUUUCCAGGUUUACUUCGAGCGUUUCCUUUCCUCUUUGGGAUAAAUAACGCACGGUGGCGGUCUCUGUGUUGUUAUGUUUUAGCCCGCGUUGUUUUUCGCGGAUGCGACAGCUGGGCGACUCUGCUGGGGACUAUAGAAGUUGACCUCGUUGCUGUUCAUCUUCCUAAGCGAGUCCUCUCCUAGCGUUCUCUAAGAUAGUUAGGUUGCUUUGUGCGCUUAUUUAUUGCAUUUAUGAUUAUUCCUGUUCGGUGUAAUAUAUUUGCAUAAAUAUUUGCAUGCAUCAUACUAUCAUGUUGCUGUCCUCUGUACAGGUGGUUCCUAUGAUUUGGGGUGGGUGUUCUGAGUGGGGCUAAAACCCAGGCCCGAGAAUACACCUAGGAUUAGCGUGGUCUCAUGUUGCCUCUCAUGUUAGGUCAACAUGAUCUUGGCGACGUGACAUACCACAAGCGGGACGAGGUUCUUUUGAGGGAACUCUUCCUUUGUGGAGUAUCCACUUUGGUUGAGGCACUUCAUCUGAACUAUUGACUUCGGUGACCGUUCUUUCCCGGAUCUUUGGUUUAGAUGAUCUUAAGAGAGCUACAACGGCACACCCGAAAGGGCAAACCCGUUGAGUAUCGUUGCCUGAUUGUCGAGACCAUUAUCCGCCUUAGGAUGACCUGAUUAGAAUUCACCUGUGAGGGGAGGGUUGAUUCUUACAGAUGCAUGAUCUGAUGGUGACUUUGAUGGUGACUAAUGGUUCCGUUGAUCAGAGUCCUAUUCAUAAGUCAGAUUUAUGGGCAUUUAUUUCAGAGACGCCGGAGUUCUGUCUGUAUUAUUUAUCAGUGGGGAUCCGUUUAUUUCAGGAUUCCCCGGGUUGGUUCAAGAGGGUAUUGUGGUUAUCUGUUCAGAGAACCUCUAGUGAUGAUGGUGAUGUAUCUUUCAGUUCCGUUUAUUUCGGAACCCUUGAGUUGGACUUAUGAUUGCCUAGUACCUCAGAUGGUUGUGAUUAGUUCAGAGAUCAGGGAUUCAGUGCAACAGAUGUUCAGAUGACUUUGGAGGAUGGCAAUGCAUUGCAUUCAUACAUCAGCAUCAUUUCAUCUUGCAUUUAUCUGCAUCUAACUCAUGUUUAUCCAUAUGCGGGGACAUUUUUGAUUGAGAUCCUGGUUGAGAGACUUCUUUGUCCCAGAGAUCAGUGUGCUGAGAGAUAUGAUACCAUUGAUUACACCCGACUAUGUGGGGAUGUUCCGUGAGGCAUACGGUGGUAUUCUGAAGUCAGUUUUCAGGCUCACAGAUAGUGAUAGGAGCGCCAUUCAUACUCUUCUCCAGUUCUAUGACCCGGGUUUGAGAUGUUUCGUCUUCCCGGAUUACUUGCUGGGACCCUUGAUGGAGGACUAUGCCAGCAUCCUGGGUAUUCAGAUCCGAGAUCAGAUUCCUUUCUAUGCCACUAAGGGGGAGCCUGAUAUUGCGGAGAUUUCUCUUGCUCUUUAUUUGAGCCCGGAGGUGAUAAAAGGGGGUUUGAAGGAGAAGGGAAAGUUACCUGGUUUUCAUUUGAGUUUCUUGGAGACUAAAGCCAAGGAACAUGCUGCUGCGGGUAAUUGGAAGACUGUCUGUGCCUUGGUUGCUAUGAGCAUUUAUGGGAUCAUCCUGUUUCCUAAUCAGAAGAACUUCGUGGACCUUAAUGCUAUCAGAUUGUUUAUACAGAGGAAUCCCAUUCCUACCCUGGUUGGAGAUGUCUAUUACUCGGUCCAUAACAGAAACGAGAAGCGGCGUGGGGGAUUAAUCAGAUGUUGUGCUCAGUUGCUGUACAAAUGGUUCAUGGGGUAUUUGCCUUCCAGAGGUGUUUUUGUCGCUCUUGAUCCUACUGUCAAGUGGUCAGUCAGGUUGAUGGGUUUGCGGGCCAAGGAUAUAGCUUGGACUCACAAUGGUAUGGCCGGACGAGAUUUCAUAUGCAGUUGUGGGAGUCUUCCCAAUGUGCCUCUCAUAGGAGUUCAGGGUUGCAUUAAUUACAACCCGGUGCUUCUUAGGAGACAGAUGGGGUUUGCUGUGGAGGGUCCUCCUCUCGGAAGAGAGAUUCAGGAGUCUUUCUACUUCCCAAUUGAGGGCAAUCAGGCCAAGUUGAGGUAAGUGUCUGAUGAGUGGCGUAGUAUUCAGAGAAAGGGCAAGGUUCCGUUUGGCAAGGUGAAUAGCAGAUCUUUUCCUCCAUUUGAUGAUUGGCUUAGGAAGAGGAUCGAGCUCACACAUCUACCAUUUCCUGGAGGUGAUCCUUGGUGUCCUUUGAUUGAGGGGCCGUGUUCUUCUGUCAGUAUGGAAGAGUUCCUCGAGAUGAAGAAAGCCAGAGAUCAGUUGCAAGCAGAGAAAACUGAAUUGGAGAUGAGUGUUGCCCGGAUUCAGAUGGCUAAUCAGGAGAUCAGAGGGAGGAUGGAAGAUCAGGAUAAGAAACAUGUCCUGGAAGUGAAGCGCUUCGAGAUAGACACUGCCUAUUACCGUAAGGUUAGCCAAGCGUUGGAGUCGUCUACAAAGGAGCACGACAUCACCAAGGAUAGAUUGGUUAGAGCUUCAAAGGUCAUUGAAGAUGAGAAGAGGAGGCAAAUCCUUGUGAGAGAUCAGAGGGAAGACAGAGUCAGAAUCCUCGUCGCCGAAUGGGAAGCAAAGUUGAAGAGUAAGGAAGCAGAGAACAUGAAGAUCAUUGCUGAGAGAGAUCAUUAUCUUGCUGAGAGAGAUCAUUACUUCAGACAGAUGAAGAUUGGCCAGAAGGAGGUAGGGAGAUUGCAGCAGGAGAACACUGAGCUUAGGUUCGCGGUGAAGUUUACCAAGAUGGUAGACGAUGUGGAGCCGUCUGUGGGGCCUUCUUCAGUGUGACCUUUCUCAUUUGUGUGGAUUACCGUCAGGCCUGUUGACGGAAUUCACUUGUUUGUAUUUUCUUUCUGAUUCUGGAGAAUUGUAUUUGAUUUGUAUCAGUUUUGAUGUAUGACUUUUGCACUUAUUGUGCAUUGUUGAUAUACAGUGAUUGUUUUCAUUCAGUGAUCGAUUUUCAAGCUUUAUUUGCUUCCCUCUAUGCCCUCACAUAGCACACACAUUGUUGGGUGGUAUUUUGCUAAAUCAUAUAUCUCUGAUCUGUAUGAUGAAAUCAAAUGAUGAAUGUCAGAAUAUUGCUGUCGGAUUAUUAUCUGUCUCGAUGAAGCCAGGAUUGAAAGACAGAGUGUUCCUCAUGCGGAUAAACAUGGCAUUCAUGCAUAAUCAUAAUAACUUGUUUUCUAUUUUGUAGGUAUCAGUUCUAACGUGCUUGAUUGUUUCAGGAAUCAUUGCUCGUGCUCGUAGAGUUGUACCCUUGCACUCAACACGUCCACACAGAUAUUUCACCAGACGCAACACACCUAGACUGAUGGAUCUACCAAAUACAGAUGUUCUCGAGCUGAAAGAGAAGAUGAAUGAAUUGAUUAACAUCAUGCAAGGGUUUGCUGUGGGCCAGAAAGCACUUGCCGAUAAAGUAGAAAAGCUCGAGCGGGCUUCAGCUGCCAAUAGUGGUGUCAAUCUGGAUGGUGUCUCUAAUCAGGGUCUUAGAGGUUCUAGGGACGGUGGAAAAAGGACAACUGUGGGUGUAAUGAAUAAUAAUGCCGGUGGUUUUGGUGCCGCCACAGGUAGUGGACCCGGUCAGAUGGGCAAUAAUAUGAAGGAUAAUCUGUUUCCUCCUUUCUUCGGGGCUGAAGAGGAUAGAGAAGAAGACAGAGAAGAUGAUCAAUUCUCCUUGAUGAAUGAACCGUUUGGUCAGUAUGGUGUCCAACCGCCAAAUAAAGAGAUUCAGUUGCUGGCAGAGAAGAUCAGGGCUCUCGAAAGCUAUGCCACUCCAAGGGUUGUGAAUAUGUCGAAUAUGGGGCUGGUUGAGGGGAUUGUGAUCCCACAAAAGUUCAAGGCGCCCGCUUUUGAUAAGUAUAAUGGGAGCUCUUGCCCGGAGACUCACCUCCAAGCUUUUGUCCGCAAAAUUUAUGCGUACACAAUGGACCAGAAGCUGUGGAUGUACUUCUUCCAGGACAGCCUGUCCGGAGGAUCCCUGGAAUGGUACACCAAGCUGAAAUCUUCUGACAUUAAGAGCUGGCAGGAUCUGGGUGAUGCAUUCUUUAAACAAUAUCAGUUCAACACUGAUAUGGCUCCUAGUCGUACCCAGCUGCAGGGUAUGUCUCAUAAGCCUAAUGAGGGGUUUAAAGAGUAUGCGCAGAAAUGGAGGGAGCUGGCUGCCAGAGUUCAACCUCCAUUGGUGGAUAGGGAAAUGUCAGACUUGUUUAUGGGUACCCUUCAGGGGACAUUUGCUGAAAGGAUGGUUGGUUGUCCGGUUACCAAUUUUGCAGAUAUUGUGGUGGCUGGUGAAAGAAUAGAGAGUUGGUUGAAGCUGGGGAAAAUCCAGGGUGGUAAUGCUUCGUCAUCUGGUUCGAAGAAGCCCUUCGGAAAUGGUCAGAGGAAGAAAGAGGGUGAUACAAGUGCUGUGUAUACCCAAAGAGGACAAAGUAGGGAUCGUUACUACCAGCACGCUGCUGCGAUAACUAUUCCUGCUGACAAUCAACCUGCACAACAACAACAACAACAACAACAACAACCGCAACAACGUCAGCCAUUUCAGCAGAGACCGCAAAGGGCUGGAUAUCAAGUCAGAGGGCGAAUGAAUGAUCGUCAGUUCGAUAGGCCGUCUGUGACUUCUUCAUUCCUGUUGAAGAAGCUGAAGGAUUUGGGAUUGGUCCAGUUGAGAACUUUGGCUCCUUUGAGACCUGAUCAGAGGCCAGCCAGUUUUGAUGAAAACGCCAAAUGUGAAUUUGAUUCAGGUGCACCUGGACACAACGUAGAGAACUGCAAAGCUUUUAAGCAUGUGGUUCAAGACCUGGUGGAUUCUAAAGCAAUCAACUUUUCUCCAUCUCCAAACGUUAAUGCUAAUCCCAUGCCCGCGCAUGGUCAAAUGGGGGUGAAUGCAAUCUCUGAUGAGGGCAGAAUCGGGCUGUUGAGGGUAGACCAACUGAAGACUCCUUUGGCUGAGGUCAAGUGACAAUUGUUGAGGAAUGGGGUCUUUCCGGGCUGUGAUGACUGUUGUGUUGCGUGCAUUGUUGCUCCGAAUGGGUGUAUACUCUUGAGGGAGGCUGUCCAGGGGCUGAUGGAUGAGGGAAGUCUCAGGUUUGAGAAAGUGGAUAUGGGGAAGGAAGAUGUCUCCACCAUAACUAUCUAUUUUGACCCGGUUGAUUUGUCAACUCUGGCUGAUGCAGCUCCAGUUACUAUAACGGUACCUGGGCCAAUUCCUUAUGACAAAGAUGAUGUUGUGCCGUGGCAUUAUGGUGGGGAAGUGUAUUGCAAUGGAGAGAAGAUGGAGGAUCAAACUGCAGGUGAAACCACCGUUUCAAAGGUGGAUAAUGCCGGACCUAGUGGUUUCACUUGUAGUGGGAGGUUGUUUGCGCCGGACGCUUUGAGGGGCGGAGAAGGAGAAAAAGAAAAGAAAGAAAAGGCCGAGGCUUUAGCCAGGGCAAGAGGAAAACAAGUAGUGAAUGAAGGUACUCCUGUUGUGACACCGGCGCCUGGUGGGUCGGAGAAAGAACUUGAUGAUGAAGUAGAGGAAUUUUUAAGAAUCAUCAAGAAGUCUGAGUACAAGCCUUUUGACCAUCUGCAGCAGACCCCUUCCAAGAUCUCAAUCUUGUCGUUGUUGCUGAGCUCUGAAGCCUAUGUUCCCCAAGAGAUCACAAUCGUUGGAGACGGUGGUAUCAAAUAUCAAUGCCAGCCAUGGGCUGGGUUUCACCAAUUUAGAUCUGACUGUGGAUGGGAGAAAUCACCACCGGGAUUUACACAUCGCUAUGGAGUGUAAAGGAGCUGCGCUUUCGCAUGUGCUGGUUGAUACUGGCUCUUCAUUAAAUGUGUUGCCAAAGAAAGCCUUGGCGAAGCUGGACUGUGCAGGGUUGAUUCUGACGCCCACGGAUUUGAUAGUUAGAGCUUUCGAUGGUUCAAAGCGGGCGGUGUUUGGAGAAGUGGAGCUCCCGGUGAAGAUUGGACCUGAGGUGUUCAAGUCAGUAUUCUAUGUCAUGGAUAUUCAGCCGGCAUACAGUUGCCUGUUGGGUCGCCCAUGGAUUCAUGCUGCUGGGGCAGUGAUUUCGACUUUGCACCAGAAACUGAAGUAUAUCUGGGACGGGUAAGUCGUCACCGUUUGUGGGGAGGAGGACAUCUUCGUCAGCCACUUGUCAUCGUUCAAGUACGUGGAAAUGGAUGGUAAGAUAUGGGAAACGCCGAGUCAAGCAUUCGAAACCGUUAAGGUGGAGAAUGCUCUUUUUGCAAAAGAAGAGGAGAAACCGUCCAUUUCUUCGUAUAGGCAGGCCACUGAGGUGGUGAAGAGUGGAGAAGCUCCUGGUUGGGGGAAGAUGAUGGACAUCGCCGCCAAGAAAGACCGAUUUGGAGUGGGUUAUCAGCCGGGCUGAGGCUCGUCAGGACAAGGUAGAGGACGUCGUCCGUCAGUCACAUUCACCAGUGCUGGAAUGCUGGAUCCUGAUCACAUCUGUAUGGUGGGUGAAGAAGCUGACAGUGACUAUGAAAUCGAUCGAUGGAUAAAGCCGUGCACACCAGGGAUGGAAGUCCAGAACUGGAAGGCUGAAAAGAUCAUCAAUGUCACUCUACUUGAAGAGUAAUAUUUUUAUGUUUUCAAUUUUAUUUGCAUGGAAGCCAUACGUUUUGCUCGAAACGUAAUGGUUCAUUGUAAGGGCCACCUCAUGUUUCAUUUUGCAACUUUUUGCAUCAUAAAUAAAAGGAUGUUUUUCAAUUAAAAGCGGUGUUCCCUGUUUUUCCUAUAUUUUUGCAGUUUAAAAAUAAAACAAAAUAAAAAUGGCAAUGUUUUCAUUUUUCUUUUCAAUUUGUCUCGCUCCGGUUCUAAAGCAAUGCAUGAAUCAACAUUCAUGCAGAUGCGAUCUCUCUCCGGAUCUCAUUGAUAACAAUCCUGUUACACCCUCGUAUGACUUCGACAAUCCGAUCUAUCAUGCCGAAGAAGAAGGCGAAGAAGAUUGUGAACUGCCGGAGGAAUUAGCCAGGUUGUUGAAACAAGAGGAGAAGGUGAUUCAGCCGCACGAAGAGCAAGUUGAGAUAGUGAAUCUGGGUACCGAGGAGGUCAAAAAAGAAGUGAAGAUCGAGGCUGCUUUGGAGGCGAGUGUCAAGAGCAGAAUGGUAGCAUUGUUGAAAGAGUAUGUCGACAUCUUUGCCUGGUCUUAUCAAGAUAUGCCAGGGUUGGAUACCAAUAUCGUUGUGCACAAGCUACCUUUGAGAGCAGAUUGUCCUCCAGUGAAGCAGAAGUUGCGCAGAACUCGACCUGAGAUGGCAAUGAAAAUUAAAGAGGAAGUGCAAAAGCAGUGGGAUGAUGGUUCCCUUGCUGUCACUAAUUAUCCACCUUGGGUUGCAAACAUUGUGCCAGUGCCGAAGAAAGACGGGAAGGUGAGAAUGUGUGUGGAUUACCGGGAUCUGAACAGAGCUAGUCCAAAGGAUGAUUUCCCAUUACCUCAUAUUGAUGUGUUGGUAGAUAAUACAACUCAAUUCUCGGUGUUUUCCUUCAUGGAUGGCUUUUCUGGCUAUAAUCAAAUCAAAAUGUCGCCAGAUGAUAUGGAGAAAACAACGUUCAUCACACCGUGGGGCACCUUUUGUUACAAGGUGAUGCCAUUCGGUCUCAAGAAUGCCGGUGCUACUUAUCAGAGGGCCAUGGUGACUUUGUUUCAUGAUAUGAUUCAUCAUGAAAUUGAAUGCUAUGUUGAUGACAUGAUAGCAAAGUCCCAAACAGAAGAGGGGCAUUUGGUAGAUCUGGCCAAGUUGUUCGACCGGCUGAGACAGUUCAGACUGAGGUUGAAUCCGAACAAGUGCACUUUCGGAGUGCGGUCCGGUAAAUUGCUGGGGUUCAUUGUAAGUGAGAAAGGAAUCGAGGUUGAUCCUGCUAAAGUAAAAGCAAUAAGAGAAAUGCCUGAACCGAGAACAGAGAAAGAGGUUCGUGGUUUCUUAGGUAGAUUGAACUACAUUUCACGGUUCAUAUCUCAUCUAACAGCCACGUGUGAACCAAUAUUCAAGUUGUUGAGAAAAGAUCAAACGGUCAGGUGGAAUAAUGAUUGCCAAGCGGCAUUUGAAAAAAUAAAAGAGUAUUUGCAGGAGCCUCCGAUUCUGAUGCCUCCUGUGGAGGGAAGACCGUUAAUUCUGUACUUGACGGUCCUCGAGGGGUCUAUGGGGUGUGUAUUGGGGCAGCAUGACGAGUCUGGUCGAAAAGAGCAUGCCAUAUACUACCUUAGCAAAAAGUUUACCGACUGUGAAACAAGAUAUUCACUGCUCGAGAAGACUUGUUGUGCUUUGGUCUGGGCUGCUCGCCGACUGAGGCAGUAUAUGCUGGUUCAUACCACUUUGUUGAUUUCCAAGAUGGAUCCAAUCAAGUAUAUUUUUGAGAAGCCAGCAUUGACCGGACGGGUUGCGAGGUGGCAAAUGAUUUUGACUGAAUAUGAUAUCCAGUAUACCUCUCAGAAAGCAAUCAAGGAGAGUGUAUUGUCUGAUUACCUCACCCAGCAACCCAUUGAGGAUUAUCAACCGAUGAAGUUUGAGUUCCCUGAUGAGGAUAUCAUGUUUCUCAAAUCGAAAGAUUGCGAGGAACCAAUCCCGGAGGAGGGGCCUGACCCUGAAUCCGAAUGGAUUAUGAUGUUUGAUGGGGUCGUUAACGUGAAUGGUAGCGGUGUUGGUGCUGUUUUGGUUACGCCGAAAGGGUCCCAUAUUCCUUUUGCUGCCCGGCUAACAUUUGAGUGCACCAACAACGUGGCUGAAUACGAAGCUUGUUUCUUGGGGAUUGAAGAGGCGAUUGAUUUGAGGAUCAAGAACCUUGUUAUAUAUGGAGAUUCAGCUUUGGUUGUGAAUCAGGUUAACGGAAAAUGGUAUACGCAUCAGUCUCAUUUAGUUCCAUACCGAGACUAUACGAGGAGAUUGUUGACGUUUUUCACCAAGGUGAAGAUGCAUCAUGUGUCGAGAGAAUAGAAUCUAUUGGCAGAUGCUUUGGCUACUCUGGCUGCCUUGAUUAAGGUGCAGUGGUGGAAUCAGUUCCCCAGUGUUGAGGUGGGACGUCUGGAUAGACCGGCUUAUAAGUUUGCUGUUGACACAGUGCCUGAUGAUGAGAAGCCGUGGUAUUACGAUAUCAAGCGCUAUCUGGAGACCCAAGAGUAUCCUGAGGGAGCAUUUAAGAAGGACCGAAAGACUCUGCGGAGGUUGGCCAUGGUGUUCUACUUGAAUAAGGAUGGGGUUUUGUAUAAGAGGAAUUUCGAUUGGGUUUUGCUCAGAUGUGUUGAUGAUAAAUAAGCAAGCCAAUUGAUGAAAGAGGUUCACGAAGGGUCGUUCGGUACCCAUGCCAGUGGGAAUGCAAUGGUGAAGAAGCUGCUGAGGGCAGGUUAUUAUUGGAUGACAAUGGAGGCCCAGUGUUUUAAUUUCGUGCGGAAGUGUCAUAAAUGCCAGAUUUAUGCUGACAAGGUGCACGUGCCUCCAAAUCCGUUGAGUUUGAUGUCGUCUCCAUGGCCGUUCGCUAUGUGGGGCAUUGAUAUGAUUGAGAAGAUUGAGCCUACGGCUUCGAAUGGGCAUCGGUUCAUAUUAGUGGCUAUUGAUUACUUCACCAAGUGGGUGGAAGCAGCCUCUUAUACAAAUGUGACGAAACAGGUCGUUGCCAGAUUUCUCAAGAGAGACAUCAUUUGCAAAUAUGGGGUUCCCGAGAGAAUCAUUACUGAUAAUGGUUCUAAUCUGAACAAUAAGAUGAUGGCAGAACUGUGCCGGGAAUUCAAGAUCGAGCAUCACAAUUCUUCUCCUUAUCGUCCGAAGAUGAAUGGGGCGGUUGAGGCAGUUGAACAAUAAGAUGAUGGCAGAACUGUGCCGGGAAUUCAAGAUCGAGCAUCACAAUUCUUCUCCUUAUCGUCCGAAGAUGAAUGGGGCGGUUGAGGCAGCCAAUAAGAAUAUAAAGAAGAUUGUGCAAAAGAUGGUGGUGACCUAUAAAGACUGGCAUGAGAUGUUGCCGUUUGCAUUGCAUGGGUAUCGAACCUCGGUGCGUACUUCUACUGGGGCAACGCCUUUCUCGCUCGUAUAUGGAAUGGAAGCCGUGUUACCUGUUGAGGUUCAAAUCCCUUCUUUGAGAGUCCUGAUGGACGUGAAGUUGCAAGAGGCGGAAUGGGUAAAGACCCGGUACGAAGAGUUAAGCCUGAUUAAAGAAAAGAGGCUGACAGCCAUUUGUUAUGGGCAGUUGUACCAGCAGCGGAUGAAGCGUGCUUUUGACCGAAAGGUACUACCUCGCGUGUAUCACGUGGGUGAUAUGGUGCUGAAAAGGAUCCUUCCUCCUCAAAACGAUCGUAGGGGCAAGUGGACACCUAAUUAUGAAGGUCCGUUCGUUGUCAAGAAGGUUUUCUCUGGUGGAGCCUUGUUGUUAACGACCAUGGAUGGCGAGGAUUUUCCAUCCCCUGUGAAUGCGGACGUAGUUAAAAAAUACUUCGUAUAAAGAGACCCGCUGGACGAAAAGAAUAAAAUAGUCCAGGCAAAAACUGAGAUCCCGGCGAACAACAAAAGAAAAUGAUGAAAAGUAUCGGGCAAAAAUUACAGGUAAAAAAGGAAAAACGUACACACCGGCAAGUCGAAACCUGAAAGCCGUGCAUACCGACAGUUCCGCUUACGCGAACCGCGGGAAAAACGACAACAACAGAGCCGCCAUCGUGCGUUAUUUAUCCCAGAAGAGGGAAAGGAAACGCUCAGAGUAAACUGGAAAGACAUGGUCUCGCGACCAAAGAGAAUGGAUCGGGAGUCGGUUAUGCGAAGGGAAGGUAUUAGCACCCCUACGCAUCCGUCGUACUCGACGGGAUCCACGCACAAUAGGAAGGAAAAUGGUUGCUAAAACACUGCUCAAAAACAAACAAACUGGCUGAAAGAGACACAAGAAAACAAACAAGACUGACUCGGCAGGAUAUCGCAUCCUGGGCCUACUUAGUCUAUCAAGCAUAGACAUCAGAGUCUAAGUAGUUUGGACUGGGGAAAACACAUGCUCGCUAGGAUAUCGCAUCCUAUGCAUACGUAUCUUCUUGGACUAAGAAGAAUCAGAGCAUUCGUAGCUCCGAUCACGCACACAAACAAAACAGACACAGGCAAACAUGGAAUCUGAAUGCCAAUCGAUGGACUUACAUCAGACUCCGAACCAAAACACACCCACACUGGAAACCAGAUGCCACUUGAUGGACUUACACUGGACUCCAAGCACACAACAAGAGGAUACGGAAUGCCAAUCGCUGGGCUUACAUCCAUCUCCUAACACACACAAAGACAAAACAAAACGGGUGCCCGGAGAGAUCAGCUCAUCUCCUGCCUACAUACAUCAUCUGGUAUGAGGAUCAGGGCGACGUAGUUCCCCUACGAAGGGACACAGGACUAGCCUAACCAGAUAACAGAGGGAGACACAACUAGGGAGACUAACUCGAGCCUAGAUGUUAUCAUGCAAAAUCCUCCCUAAGUCAAGGUUGCUACCUAACUUGCACAGGGAGCAAGCUAUCCUAAUCAGCGCAAACAGCAAAGCAAACAAUCACAAAUAGCACACACUAUAUACACACAAAGUGGGGCUCAAACAAGGGUUAGGCUGCAAGAGCAAGCCAACUGUAUCAGGGUGAUGUUAGCUCUUAACCCUAACAUUGAGAGUUAGGGUGAAGCUGAUGAAAGGUGAGUGAAGAUGAGACUUCACAGCUCUUAUCCCUGGCCUGGGAGAGCUUUAGACAAAGAAGUGUGGGUUCAGAAAGUGGGAACCCUUCUACACUUAUGACACUGACUCAAAUCUACAACUGUACAAGGAUCUUGGGUUACUAUCUACAAUGCAUCAACACAGUGGUGUGAGCAGAGGGAUGACUCAACUGAAUAGCAGGAGAUGGAUUGCACAUCUCUUUUAUCUGCCAAUUGCCUUAUCAAAGGUCUUUUCCUGCUUGGGGACAAAAAUAAACAAGCACAAGCAUUGCCUCUUAAGGAGGACUUCAGAUAGGUGCCUGGCCAAGUAACAGGCCAGGUCUUCCAGACUACAUGGAGAAGAGAUCAUUAUACCUCAAUGCCCAAGCUAGCAAGCAAAGCAAAAGAAAGUUCUCAAGGGAACUAUAGCAACUAAGGUACCUGAAAACAAUCCAGCACAAUCAGUACUCGACUCAAACAGAAGACAAACAGACAGUGGUCAACAGUUAACUGUACAUAAACAGACAAACAAGCAAAGCAAUGCACAAAGGUGCAAUCCACAAGGCCUAAGCACAAGUCUCAAUGCCUACAAAACAAACUCAAGAUUAGUCAUAAACAAACAAUAAAUCAACUCCAAUGGAGUGCACAUCAUCAAGCAUAAGCAAUUGUGCUUUUUUGACCUGAAACAAAACUCAAACAUUAAGCACUAACCACUAGUACAAGACUAGGGUCAAAAUGAGAGCAAUAAACCAAAACAGAACAUGAAACUUAUCAAAAAUCAAGAUCAAUCAAAUAAGAAUCAAAUCCAAGUGGUCUCACAUUCAUAUCAUCAACCAAUAUCAUUUCAUGAAGCAAAGAGUACAAAGCAUGCAAUUUAGAACCUCAUAGGACCAAGCAGAAUGAUCCAAUUCAAAUCAACUCACAAACAUUUCAAUAAAUCCCCAAAAAAUUCAUGGCUAAACAACAUUCAUAACAUGAUCUACAAACCAAAUUUCAAGCCAUUUGGACAAAGGGAAGCAAGCCAAUUCAAUUCAUCAAGUCAAAGCAUACUCAAACAAGCUCAUACAAGGCACCAAAACAUGCAUCAAAUUCAAGCAAGCACAAAACAGAAUUGGCAUAAGAUAAAUGAACCAAAUCAAAUCCAUGACACACUUCAAGAUGUCUACAAUACAUGUGUAAAAUUUCAAGUCCAUCCAAUAAGCAACCAGAAUUUCACAAAUCAAAUAAAAUCAUGACUCACAAAAAGUCCACAAUUGGUCAAACAGAAGCGAAAUUCUCAAACAAAUUGGAAAUGCACUCAAAAAAUCCACAAAAAAUCACAUUCAAACUUAACUUCCAGAAGAUUCAACAUGCAAAAGUUCAGAUCAUUUUGAAAUCAUAUGGCAUGGUAAUGAAAAUCCACAAGUUAGACAAGAAAUGGUGUGACACACAUUGUCACACCUCCAAUGAUCAGGUCAUAUCUCACAAACCAGGAAUGCAAAAAUCACAAACUAUAUACCAAAGUUCUCCUCAAGGUGUCUAGUUUACACAUAUAAAGUUUCAGCUCCAUUGGAUUAAGCAUCAUCAUUUCAUGAUCAAAAUAGCAAGCAAGGUGCAACAAAUGACAUGUUCACAUAAACCCUAAGCCCAAACAGAUUCCACACGUGCACAAUUUUCAUAAAAAUCAUCAAAAAAUCUAGAGAUCACAAGGAACACAAUGGAAAAAACCUCAUGUUAAUUGGACAAAUAUUCAUUGAGAUAUGAAUUUUCUAAUGUGAGAAAAAAUAAAAAAUGUGAAAGAACCAAGCAUGAACAUGUGAAGCUUAUGUGUAAAUAUUCAUUGAGAUAUGAAUUUUCUAAUGUGAGAAAAAAUAAAAAAUGUGAAAGAACCAAGCAUGAACAUGUGAAGCUUAUGUGAAAAAUAAUGCAAAGCAAAUAUAUGAGAUGCUGGAGCGGAGAAUCGUACUCCGUCCAGAUUCAAAUACAACGCGCGCUAUCUGAAGCGCUGCGUUUCAAUAAAUGAGGUGUCACGUCUUGAUUGGCUACAUGGAGCAAAAACAAGGAAAUUCAUGCAAACAUACGGCCAGUGGAUCAAACACGAGUUCUGGGCAAAGAAGUUAGGGUUCAUCAUCUCAUUCAUAUGUUUUUCAUCAAAUUUCCAGCAUAUGAACACUUUGUCCCCAAAAUCAACAAACAGCAUACCAUUGUGUUCAUCUUCUAAUGCACAUCAAUAAUCUAAUAUCCAUUAAACCUAAUUCAUGCUAACAAAUCCAGAUCGAGCAAAAUAAGUUUUGCACUCAAACUUAGAUUCACAAUAUCUCAUUCAAUUCUUAAUGAAAAUCAAAACUAUAAAGUGCAGCAUGCUCAUGGAUCAAAGAUUUAUCAAAUGCAUAGCCUAAUUUCAACAAUUAUAAGGUUCGAAUUCCAACCUUCAAGAGAUAGCAGAGCUGGAUUUGGAGUUUUUAAGCCUUGCAAGAUGAAAACAGAAGUUCUAUGGUGCUCUAGUAGAUGAAUGAAUGGAGAUUCGAAGCUCAAUUAUGCUUGGUGAUGCUCUAAAUUCAAGCUGCCAUUGAUGAUGCUCGAUGUAACAGUCCAAGAAACAGCUUGAAAUCCUCGCUCUCUUACUUCAAUCCAGCUCAAUGAUGAUUGUAGAUGAUGAUUCAAUCGUGGAAAUUGCAAGGUUCUAUGAAAAAUUUGCAGAAAAAAUGAAGAGAAAAAGUUGAGAGAAUUUGCACUUUUUUUAUCUAGAUCUGUGUGAAUGAAUGUUAAUCCCCAAUUCAGUUAGAAUUAUCUAUUUAUAUGAUGCACUAAUCCACUUUGUUAAUCAAGCUUAGCCAAAAUGCAAGGAUUAAGAAAAAUGCAAGUUUAUGUGCAAAUUGAUCAAACACCCCUCAUGCAUGGAAUGUGCUGCUACAGUACACGAAAAUUUGCCCAAGCACACUCCAAAUAUGAUUUAAAACCAAUUGCAAGUGGUGGGAAAUGUGGAAAAUGCAUAGUUUUCAAAUUGACUUUUUUCCCUCCCUUUUUCAAAUUCAAGUCACAUGAAAAAUGCCAUUUUUGUGUGAUGAAUUUUGAUGAAAUGUAAUGAAUGAUUUGGAUAGAGCAUGUUAAAAGGAGAUUGUAGCAAAAAAUCCCACAUGAUUUGGCCAAAUGGUGUGAAAGUUAUCCCACUUUGAAGUUCAAAAUUUCUUGACAAUGAUUUGAUCAUAUCUUGCCAACCACACAUGCGAAAUGGAUGUUCUUUGACUUUUUGGAAAGGUGAGAGCAAAAUAUUCAACUUUCAUGUUGGACAAAAUUCCAUUUGAAGCUUGUAUGAUGAUGUAAAUUUGAGGAGAAGACCUUUCCAUUUUUGGCAGUUUGAAAUUAUAGGUCACUUACUAUUUUUGGAAACUUUUCAUCUGACCUCAAAUUCUUCAAUGUUGAUCUUUGACAUGUCAAAUGAGACUUGCAUGGACAUGAGCGAGGCCUCUCAAACCAUCUCCCACCUUCAAAUCCAUGAUUUCUGGCACAGUUGACCACAGUUGACUUUCUAGGGUUUCAGAUGAAAUUCAGCUUGACUAUUGAGCUUUGAUCAUCCAAUCCUUGGCCAAACCACUUCAAAAUGAUCCCUAGGUCACAUGAACAUGUUGAACCAACCUUAGGGCUUUGCUUCAAUAGGAUAUGCACUUGCUUGCUUGAUUGACUGGUCCUCCUAACCAGUCUUGACUGAUGAAAUGAUGGCUUGCACUUGGGCAAAUGGACAAUGCAAUGCUAUGCAGUGGACAAUGUUAUGUUAAUGACCUAAUCAUGAAAAUGUAUGUACAAAAGGUAGGUGCAAAUUUGAGGUGCUACAGCUGCCCCUAUUCAAUAAACUGGGAACCCGAACGGAUGAGAGCAACGACUGUCAGACUUUCAGGGUAAACAGGGAUUGAAUACCAAGAACCGUAGAAAUUUGCACGCUGCAGGGAUCCACCAAUGAAAACGUCCAUUGGGAUCUGAUAUUCAUAGAGAUUUUGAUUUUCUUCAAAGGUAGAGCCACCUGCAGACAUCAAAAGACGAUGAAUGGGAACGGAAAUCACAACUAGAUGCCAACGGACAACUAGGAAAAACUCGACGUUUAUCGAAACCAACGGAGGGGUAACCAGACAUUAACGAAUGACUGGGAAAGACAUACAACCAAACGUCAACGGACGACAUGGGAAAAACUCAUCGUUUACCAAAACCAACGGAGAGGUAACUCUACUGGGGACGACCAGGAAAAACUCGACGUUUACCAAAACCAACGGAGAGGUAACUCAACUUGGGACGACCAGGAAAAACUCGACGUUUACCAAAACCAACGGAGAGGUAACUCAACUGGGGACAACCAGGAAAAACUCGACGUUUAUCGAAACCAACAGAGAGGUAACCAGACAUCAACGGAUGAAUGGGAAUACUCGACCAGACGUCAACGGACGAAAGGGAGAAGCUCGACGUUUAUCGACACCAACGGAGAAUGGGAAGACUCGACCAGACGUCAACGGACGAAAGGGAGAAGCUCGACGUUUAUCGACACCAACGGAGAAGGAGAAGACUCGACCAGACGUCAACGGACGAAAGGGAGAAGCUCGACGUUUAUCGACACCAACGGAGAAGGAGAAAACACUUCACUAAGGAAGGGACACAUCAACCGGAAACCAAAUAGGACGUUACCGACGACUCUACUGGGGAUUCUACAUGGGAAUCAACCAGACAUUAUUGAAUGACUGGGGAAUAGGAUAUACAAUCAGACGUCAACGGACGAAUGAGAAAAACUCAACGUUUAUCGAAACCAACGGAGUGGUAAAUCUGCAUGGGGAAAUAUAUCAUCAACAACCGUCAACAGACGAUCGGGAAAAACUCAACGUUUAUCGAAACCAACGGAAAGGUAACUCUGAGGGAAACCAGCAGCCAUCAACGAAUGAUCUGUGGGGAAUAAGCAACUAUACAUCAUCGGACGCAUAGGAAAAACUCAACGUUUAUCGUCACCAACGGAGAGGAGACUCUUCUUGAGGAUAAUGAACACAACCAAUCAUCAACGGACAAUUGGGAAAAACUCAACGUUUACCAAGACCAACGGAGAGGUGACUCUGUGGAGGAGAUAGAACAAAACUCAACCAGACGUCAACGGACGAUUGGGAAAAACUCGACGUUUAUCGACACCAACGGAGAGGAGGAAACUUCACUAGGGAAGGAGGACGACGUUACGAACAUCGAAAGAUGAUGUUUACCGACAUCAAGGAAGACCAGACAUUGACCGAUGACUGGGGUGAGACUCGAUGUUUACCGACACCGAAAGAUGGUGUUUACCGACACCAAAAGAAACAACACACGCUGGUGCUGACAUAACAGGACGACAUCUAUACAUGUCAAGGCAAGGCUAAACACUUGCGGCGGGUCUCACUGGGGAGAAUCAGGCUUUCCUGUCACCAACGGAUGAGGAAAUAAACCUCUCUGGAGGGUAUCCGUCCUGAAUGCUGUCAGGAGUAACUGUAGCGAACGUGCUGUACAGAUGUUUGAACAAAUGAUCCUCCUCUGCCGGGGAUACGGUUUGAUUGGUUUCGAACACAUGAAUGCAUAUGUUUGAAUUUUUCUAUGGCGUAAUGCUCCAUAUGAAAUGGAAAUGCUACGCGAUUUUGAGGAUGCAAUGAUCACUAUAUGCCAAUGCAAAUGAUGAAAACUCUGGCUGGGGAGCCAAACUGAUCAGAUACUCCAACUCUGUGGGGAGACUCUGCUUGAGAAAUACUCUGCGGGGAGAGCACCGACUUCUCACUCAUGCUGGAGAAACAAUACUGUUGCCGGGGAAUGGAUAGACUCCACUGGGGACAUCCUUCAAAGGACCCAAUCCACUCGGGGACUCCGCUUGGGGAAGCAAUCAAUACAACUCUGCUGAGGACUACCCAACGGCGACUGCGCUGAGGACUACCCAACGGCGACUGCACUGAGAAACCAUCAAUACUACUCCAUUGGGGAAAGUAAACAGGGCAACUCUCUGGUGAAAUCAGGCGACUUUUCUAGGGAUAACCAGACGACUUCACUGGGGAGAGCCAACCAAUUCACAAAUAGGAUAAACUCUGCUAUGGGGAAUAAACACUACUCCGUUGGGGAACGACCCAUCCAAUCCACAGGUAGGAUAGACUCAGCUUGGGAUGCAGAUAUCCGCUACGGAAAACUCAUCCAAUCCACAGGUAGGAUAACUGCUGGAGAUAAAUUUCUUUAAACCCGCUCCACUCGGGGACUUGCUGAGGAAAAUUAUCAACACCAAUCUCUGCUCAUGAGAUCUGCUAGGGAAAGCAAUUCUGUUGGGGAUAACACACCUCUCUGCUGAGGAAAAGCAAAACUCUAGUGGGGAAAGCAAAUGCAUCAGACUCUGUGCUGGGGAGAAAUAUCCACAACCCUGCUGGGGAACAAGCAUUCACGACCACGCCGGGGAUAACAGUACUUCAAACCUGACUGCUGGGGAACAACGCUCCACUGACAACUCCGCUGGGGAUACCACAUCCUUCCAACUCAGUGGGGAACUCUCCUAGGGAAAACACCUGCCAGGCACUCAACAUGGAAUCUCAACUGGGGAAUAACCCGCUUCCCAACCUGCUAGGGAUAGACAAUCCUUAGAUCUGCUGAGGAAAGAAGGCCCCAUCCACAGACAUCUCUGCAGGGGAAUAUAGCUCUGAUAGCUUCCAAACUUGCUUGGGAAAUAUAUCUGCUGGGGAAAGAAGGCAAACAAGUGACGACCUGCAAACAACACAACAACAUGCCCCAGGGGAUACAUGGACAAGAUACACUCAAGCGUCCUCAACAUUCAAAAUGAUUUUCAAAUUUUUUAUCUUUCUGCAAGUUAUUGUUUAGCCUUCAUAUUUUUAUAUGCAAUGUUUAUCAAAAAUUCGGACGUUUUUGCAAACAAAACAGUAAAAUAAAAACAAGAGAGUUAUUUAUCUGAAUAACGACUUUUAUUGAUUGAAAAUGUGCCUGAAAAGGCGACUACAUUGGGAAGCAAUUCCUAGAAAGAGGUAAUUGCGCACAAAAGGAAAAAUCUAUCCUAAUGGCAAUGUGAACACGGCAUCCACUAUUUCCCAAUUAUGUUAUAACUCACAGAUCAUCAGUUUUCCUCCCAACUCCUUGCUUUCUAAGAAGAAUGACUGGACCGAUCACAUCUUUCGAGAUGGCAGACCACGAAGCGCGAUGUAGUACAGAUAACUCAUACUGUAGCCUUCGCUCUAAUCCCUCUUUUGGCUGGAUCGCCCUUUUGGGUUUUCAAUCCACCGGGAUACCCAUUUUUGCCUAAGCCGCCCUUGCGGGUUUUCGACUUACCGGGUGUACAAUUUCAUUUUAUCCCUAAUUUUUGCCCGAACCUUUUCUUUUUGUUUUUUGGUUCGCCGGGAUGCCCAUUUUUGCCUGGACUCUUUUAUUCUUAUUGUCCAGCGGGUCAAUUUAUGCGAAGUAUUUUUUGACUACAUCCGAGUUAACAGAGGACGGGAAAGCUUCACCAUCCAUAGUUGUAAGCAUCAAGGCUCCAUCGGAGAAGACCUUCUUCACAACAUAUGGACCUCCAUAAUUAGGAGUCCACUUGCCCCUGUUAUCUGUACCGGGAGGAAGGAUCCUCUUCAGAACUAGAUCACCGAUUUGAUAGCUCCGAGGAUGCACUUUCUGAUCAAAGGCUCGCUUCAUCCUUCUCUGAUAUAACUGCCCAUGGCACACAGCUGCUAGCCGUCUCUCUUCGAUAAGGCUCAACUCGUUAAACCUAGUUCGAAUCCACUCGGCUUCGUCCAGCUUGACAUCUAAUAAAACUCUCAGAGAAGGAAUCUCCACUUCAACAGGUAGGACAGCUUCCAUACCAUACACAAGGGAGUAAGGGGUUGCCCCGGUCGACGUACGUACUGAGGUACGGUACCCAUGCAAAGCGAAAGGCAGCAUCUCAUGCCAAUCCUUGUACGUAACGACCAUCUUCUGCACAAUCUUCUUGAUAUUCUUGUUCGCCGCUUCUACAGCACCAUUCAUCUUCGGUCUGUAAGGAGAAGAAUUGUGAUGUUCAAUCUUGAAAUCUUUACAAAGCUCUUUCAUCAUCUUGUUAUUGAGAUUCGAACCAUUGUCAGUGAUGAUUCUCUCAGGAACCCCAUAACGACAGAUGAUUUCUUUCUUGAUGAACCGGGCAACCACUUGUUUGGUAACAUUAGCAUAGGAAGCUGCUUCCACCCAUUUGGUGAAGUAAUCAAUCGCAACCAGGAUGAAGCGAUGUCCAUUAGAAGCAGUAGGAUCAAUCUUCCCAAUCAUAUCAAUGCCCCACAUGGCGAACGGCCACGUCGAAUUCAUGACAUUCAACGGGCUUGGUGGUACAUGCACCUUAUCAGCAUAGAUUUGACACUUAUGGCACUUCCGAGCGUACUUGAAGCAAUCGGAUUCCAUAGUGAUCCAGUAAUAACCGGCUCUCAACAAUUUCUUCGACAUUGCAUGACCACCAGCAUGGGUACCAAACGAACCUUCAUGCACUUCCUGCAUCAACAUGUCUGCUUCGUGUCUAUCCACGCAUCUGAGCAAGACCAUGUCAAAGUUCCUCUUAUACAACACGUCAUCCUGAUUCAAGUAAAAGCUUCCAGCUAGCCUUCUCAGGGUUUUCUUGUCAUUCUUUGACGCACCUUUAGGAUAAUCCUGACCCUUGAGGAAGUUCUUGAUAUCAUAAUACCACGGCUUCUCAUCAAUCAUAACAGACUCGGCUGCAAACACAUACGCAGCCCUCUCGAGUCGAUUCACUGCAACAUGUGGCACAUGAUUUCACCAAUGAACUUUGAUCAUAGAAGACAAAGUAGCCAAGGCAUCAGCCAUCUGAUUCUCAUCCCGAGGGACAUGAUACAACUUCACCUUCUUGAAGAACGUCAGUAUUCUUCUGGUGUAAUCUCUAUACGGAACCAAAUGUGGCUGGUUCAUAUUUAAUCUCCGUUGACCUGAUUGAUCACUAGAGCGGAAUCUCCAAAUAUGUCAAGAGUUUUGAUUCUCAAAUCAAUGGCUUCUUCUAUCCCCAUGAUACAAGCCUCAUACUCAGCUUCAUUGUUGGUGACAUCAAAAGUUAACCUGGCAGAAAAAGGUAUAUGAGCACCUUUAGGAUUGAUCAGCACUGCACCAACACCAUUACCAUUCACAUUCACAACCCCAUCAAACAUCAGUGUCCACUUGUCAUCAGGAUCCGGUCCUUCCUCUAGAAGAGCCUCUUCACAAUCUUUCAUCUUAAGAUACAUGAUGUCUUCAUCAGGGAAUUCAAACAUCAUAGGCUGAUAAUCAUCAAUCGGUUGCUCGGCGAGAUAGUCUGACAAAACACUACCUUUGAUGGCCUUCUGCGACGUGUAUUGGAUAUCAUAUUCUGUUAAAAUCAUCUGCCAACGGGCAACACGUCCGGUGAGAGCCGGCUUCUCAAAGAUGUAUUUCACUGGAUCCAUCUUAGAANAGUCGGCGAGCAGCCCAGGCCAAAGCACAGCAAGUUUUCUCGAGCAGUGAAUAUCUUGUUUCACAGUCGGUAAACUUUUUGCUAAGGUAGUAUAUGGCAUGCUCUUUUCGACCAGACUCGUCAUGCUGUCCCAAUACACACCCCAUCGAGUUCUCAGUCACUGACAGGUACAUUAUCAGUAGUCUUCUAGGAACUGGAGGAAUCAGGAUUGGAGGUUUCUGUAAAUACUCUUUUAUCUUGUCAAAAGCUUUCUGACAGUCAUCAUUCCACCUGAUUGCUUGAUUCUUUCUAAGCAAUUUGAAUAUCGGUUCACACGUGGAAGUUAGGUGAGAUACAAACCUUGCAAUGUAGUUCAAUCUCCCUAAAAACCCACGAACCUGCUUUUCAGUUUUCGGUUCAGGCAUCUCCUGAAUAGCUUUGACUUUUGCUGGAUCAACCUCAAUCCCUUUCUCACUGACAAUGAAGCCUAACAGCUUCCCUGAUCUCACACCAAACGUACACUUGUUUGGGUU
rnacentral:lncRNA from 1 species